rnacentral:rRNA from 1 species
CAAUAGCGUAUAUUAAAGUUGUUGCAGUUAAAAAGCUCGUAGUUGGAUUUCUGAUCGAGACAUCAGGUCGGGUCCGAGAGGAUCAUGUACUUUGAUUUGUUUUGAUUAUCCUUGGGGAGAGCAUUUCUGGCAUUCAGUUGUCGGGAUUGGGAUCCUCAUCGUUUACUGUGAAAAAAUUAGAGUGUUCAAAGCAGGCCUCGGCCUCUGAAUACAUUAGCAUGGAAUAAUAAGAUAGGACUUUGGUGGUCUAUUUUGUUGGUUUGCACGCCAAAGUAAUGAUUAAUAGGGAUAGUUGGGGGUAUUCGUAUUCAAUUGUCAGAGGUGAAAUUCUUGGAUUUAUGGAAGACGAACUACUGCGAAAGCAUUUACCAAGGAUGUUUUCAUUAA